rnacentral:lncRNA from 1 species
GGUGAUGACAAUGGGAAGAAGGCCAACUACCACAACUACAUCAUAGAACAGAUCUUCACAGGUGGGCUGCAGUUGGACAUCACCUGCCAAGUCUGCCAUGGAGUCUCCACCACCACAGACCCCUUCUGGGACAUCAGCUUAGAUCUGCCUGGCUCUUCCACCCUCUUGUGGCCCAUGAGGUGAGGGAGUGAGGGCAGCAUGGUGAAUGGCAAAAGCCACAUUUUGGGAACCACCACACCUAUGGACUGCUUGCAAAGG